rnacentral:lncRNA from 1 species
GAUUUCACUAGGUUUUCCCUAAUAUCCUUUUUCUGUUCCAGGAUCCCAUCCAGGAUCCCAUGUCACAUUUCAUUGUCGUGUCUCUUCUGCCUCCUCUGAUUUCCCUUUCUCCUAUAAACCAGUGAUAAUCACCUACACAUCCAUCAAGACCCAGGAAAGACAGGUAAGCCCCAGAGAGUUCUCUUAGGCUCUAUGAGUCUUCCCUCUGUCUUG